rnacentral:lncRNA from 1 species
GGGGGAAAAAAGAAGCAAAAAACUCCAAAAAACAAAAAACAUAGAACUAAGUUUUUUUCCUUGAUUGUAGGUGACAAAUGAGCUAGAAUCUUUGUAAGAUAAAAUGGUACUGAGCAGAAAUCACUUACAUUUCUCAGACACUUUACUAGCAAAAUUGUUUUCUGUCUCUGACUUGUAAUAUCCUUCAUUACUUGUAUCUCUCUGUUUUGCUCAGGAGAUUGUCUGGGUUGCCUGGAACUACCUGUUUAAUCAAUCAAGCAAUCAAUUCUGUAACAUCGAUGUCCUGUGAAGAAGAGCUUAUUAGGAGUCCAGAGACCUCAGUAUGAACCCCAGUAACCCUGGAUCUGUUCUUCCAAUUCCUUAUCAUCUAUGAUGAAGAAGAAAACAUCACCAUUUUCCCUCUAGAAAAUAUAUAGUAGAUUUCUGGCUGAAUGAAUAAUACAACCAAAAGAACUAACUGAUUAUAAGAAAAACCUCCAAAUCCAAGAUGCAGCUCGAGCAGUGGAAUGAAGUUUGGCAGAAAUGGAUGCUCAUCUGAAGGAGACAAAGGCUGAUACACACAAGAGAUGGUUGGAAAUAAGAGAUUGGUUUGGUUCCUUGAAUCUUCCUGCUGUCCUCGUUUCAGGUAAGUUGCAAUCAUAUUUUGAAU